rnacentral:rRNA from 1 species
GAUCAGUAGGGGUUCUGAGAGGAAGGUCCCCCACAUUGGAACUGAGACACGGUCCGAACUCCUACGGGAGGCAGCAGUGAGGAAUAUUGGUCAAUGGGCGAGAGCCUGAACCAGCCAAGUAGCGUGCAGGAUGACGGCCCUAUGGGUUGUAAACUGCUUUUAUAGGGGAAUAAAGUGAGCCACGUGUGGUUUUUUGCAUGUACCCUAUGAAUAAGGACCGGCUAAUUCCGUGCCAGCAGCCGCGGUAAUACGGAAGGUCCGGGCGUUAUCCGGAUUUAUUGGGUUUAAAGGGAGCGUAGGCCGGAGAUUAAGCGUGUUGUGAAAUGUAGAUGCUCAACAUCUGCACUGCAGCGCGAACUGGUUUCCUUGAGUACGCAUAAAGUGGGCGGAAUUCGUGGUGUAGCGGUGAAAUGCUUAGAUAUCACGAAGAACUCCGAUUGCGAAGGCAGCUCACUGGGGCGCAACUGACGCUGAAGCUCGAAAGCGCGGGUAUCGAACAGGAUUAGAUACCCUGGUAGUCCGCGCGGUAAACGAUGGAUGCCCGCUGUUGGGCCAACUGGUUCAGCGGCCAAGCGAAAGCAUUAAGCAUCCCACCUGGGG